GAGACAGCAGCCGCCGCGGUAAUACGGAGGGUGCAAGCGUUAAUCGGAAUUACUGGGCGUAAAGCGCACGCAGGCGGUCUGACAAGUCAGAUGUGAAAUCCCCGGGCUUAACCUGGGAACUGCAUUUGAAACUGUCAGGCUGGAGUCUUGUAGAGGGGGGUGGAAUUCCAGGUGUAGCGGUGAAAUGCGUAGAGAUCUGGAGGAAUACCGGUGGCGAAGGCGGCCCCCUGGACAAAGACUGACGCUCAGGUGCGAAAGCGUGGGGAGCAAACAGGAUUAGAUACCCGAGUAGUCCCUGUCUCUUAUAC
rnacentral:rRNA from 1 species